rnacentral:rRNA from 1 species
UCCAGACUCCUACGGGAGGCAGCAGUGGGGAAUAUUGCACAAUGGGGGGAACCCUGAUGCAGCGAUGCCGCGUGGAGGAAGAAGGUUUUCGGAUUGUAAACUCCUUUUAUCAGGGACGAUAAUGACGGUACCUGAAGAAAAAGCCCCGGCUAGCUACGUGCCAGCAGCCGCGGUAAUACGUAGGGGGCGAGCGUUGUCCGGAAUCACUGGGCGUAAAGGGCGCGUAGGCGGUAAUAUAAGUCAGAUGUGAAAGGUGGGGGCUCAACCCCUAGAGUGCAACUGAUACUGUAUAACUUGAGUGUGAGAGAGGGAAGCGGAAUUCCUAGUGUAGCGGUGAAAUGCGUAGAUAUUAGGAGGAACACCAGUGGCGAAGGCGGCUUUCUGGCUCAUAACUGACGCUGAGGCGCGAAAGCGUGGGGAGCAAACAGGAUUAGAUACCCCCGUAA